AAGACUAUACUUUCAGGGAUCAUUUCUAUAGUUCUUGACUAGAGAAAUGUUUGCUAAAGUGAUCGGUCUCGCUAACCACGAUGAAGAGUCGUGAUAUUCCUUUCUGAGCGCGAAGCGGGCAGUGAGAAAUGAUUCAGUUCAUACGCUCACUGUCAUUGAUGACCGUUCUUUGCUUCUUAAUGGAGCAUGGAGGAGAGGAAUAUGUUCAGAGUGGUU
ensembl:snoRNA small nucleolar RNA U3